AACGAACGCUGGCAGCGUGGAUUAGGCAUGCAAGUCGAACGGGAUCCGGAAGGUAGCAAUACCGGCCGGUGAGAGUGGCGGAAGGGCGAGGAGCACGUGGACAACCUGUCCCGUGGGUGGGGAUACCGUCCCGAAAGGGGCGUUAAUACCGAAUGGGGCCCCGGACCGCAUGGUCCGGCGGCCAAAGGCGGGGACCGCAAGGCCCGCCCCCCCGGGAGGGGUCCGCGCACCAUCAGCUAGACGGCGGGGUAACGGCCCACCGUGGCUUACGGUUAGCUGGUCUGAGAGGACGACCAGCCGCACUGGGACUGAGACACUGCCCAGACUCCUACGGGAGGCUGCAGUCGAGGAUCAUUCGCAAUGGGCGAAAGCCUGACGAUGCGACGCUGCGUGGAGGAUGAAGGCCCUCGGGUCGUAAACUCCUGUCAUGGGGGGCGAGGCGGAGGCGGUUAACGGCCGCCCGAGUUGACGGUACCCCAAGAGGAAGCCACGGCUAACUCUGUG
rnacentral:rRNA from 1 species